UCACAGCCACGAGUGGCUGGCCCCAGACGGGAACUGUUCAAGUUCAUGUGAUCGUGACAAAGAUCAUACUUACCUGUACAACCAGUGAACUAGACGAGGAAAACUAACAAAUUCUCUAUGUUUAACCAAGCAAGAAGAUUUAUAUAACAUUGGACACCACUUUUAUGGCCUCACCUGUACUGAGGAUUGGAGAACAUCUAUCUUGAACACGAUUUAUGGACAUAAUAAUUACAACAGGAACCAGUUAGAGAUUUAUCACCAGCUUUAUCUGAUGAAAGGGAGGACAUAAUGUCUUUCGUUACUGAUAUACAGUUGAUGAUGCAUGGUUUUGGUGACUGUCGUAGGCCACUGCCAGAGACAGCAGCAGUUAUUGAGUCUAUUGUUCACCAGCAGAUGACCCUGUUUUUACAUCUGGCAACAGAAGUUUCUGAGCAAAGAGGAACAAGAAUUGUGGGGCCAGAAGACAUUCUUUUUGUAAUGCGUAGAGAUCCACUGAAACUUCAGCGUCUCGUUCACUACAUGGGAGUUCGUGAUCUUUAUCAAAGAACUCGAACAAGCACUUCAGGUUCAUCAUCAAGUGACUUACAAGAUUUAAAUGCAGAAGCAGGUGGGGAAGUGUCUCGAAAGAAACUGUGCAUUAAUUUUCUGCAAACUAUUGACCAGACUGGGCAGUAUGAACCUAUAUACUCAUCAUCUCUUUAUGACCCAGUGAAAGCUGAAAGAACCAUUCGUCUGGAUGCCAUGACUCAGGGAAUGUCAUGCCAAAGAUACAAAGAGUACUGUGAGGCAAGAAAAGCCUCUUUUUGCCCUCGUCUUCGGGUAAAUAAGUUCAGAGAUUGGCUCCUUGGAGAGGAAAGCAAUGAAGUAAAACUAACUCAGUUAGUUCUGGAAAUGCUCAACCGUCUUGCUUAUGAAACUGUUGCUCAGAUAGUGGAUCUUGCAUUAUUAGUUAAGAGAGAUGGCACAUCACACACCUCAGACCUAACCCGCUUCCGGACUCCUAUUGCCUUCAACCCUGAUUAUCCCUGUGUGUUCAUACAUCAGAGUGGUUCACUCCAAGAGAUUGGGUCUGGGGAUGAUCAUGGCAUAGGAAUGGAUCCCAUAACCCCUGCAGAAGUACGAGAAGCUGUUAGACGCUACUGGGCCAAUAACUCCCCUCUUUCAUCUUACUCUAAAGUCAGGUCAUCUAUCUACUCCACACUACUUGCUGCAUAAAGAGAGGAGAGCGUGUGUCGGAGGUUGGCGGCGUGCUUGGUGACUUGACAGGCUCAACUGCUUGGCCUGGCAAUCACUGGGGACGGGCAGAACCUACCAUGCAAUUCACAUGGCUUGCACGUGUUAUGCCCUCCUAUAAGAAACCAAACAUGCAUGCACAAGAAAGGUGGACCAAAUCUGCCUGGAUGUUUCAAGACAGAAACCGGCAAUAUUCCUCUGAAGGCAUUCAUACUUAGUAUUAUUUGUCAUCACAUGAAAUGUUUUACUAUGACUUUCCUAUGAUGUUAGCUUGAAUAUGAAUCUUUUCUAGACAAAGUUUGUGUUUUCUUAUUUUAUAAUUUCUUGAUGAAAAUGUCACAGUCUAACAGUGUAGCAGGCAAAUUUAUAAAUUAUUAAGAUUGUCAGGAAGAUUUAUUGAUUUACCGAAUGUAGAUUUUUCAGUUAUUUUAAAAUUCAAAGAUCACAUUAAUGAUUUCAGGCUCCAGUACUUGCAGAACUAAAUACAACAGAAAUGCAUAUUUAUAAUAUCAAAUUGCUGUCACAAUUGUGUGAGGUCUUUGUGUGUGGCAGUGAAAGAUUAACAUGUAACUGAUGAUUUAUUGGUGGGGGGAGGGGGGCUAUGAUAUGAUCAUGACACUCCAUUUCCUUCAGUACAGGUAUAGCACCUGUUCACACUGAUGACCCAUUUCUUGUAAACCAGUCUUUGGGCCUCAUAUCAUCAUUAUUACUAUUUUACAACUAUUUUCCAUGUUUUCAUGGGUUAGCUAUGAUUACCUGAUGGUAUGGGUCCCAGUUACCAUUAGGCAAUUUUGAAACAAGUUUUACAGCUGGAUGCUCCAUCCUAUUGUCAACCCAUUUUUACACAGUGGGAACUGGGCAUUUUAUGUCGAACUUCCAAGUGCCCUCUCAGCUGGCAAGGCAGGGUCGCUAUUAGUUGAGGUGAUAAAAAAUUACACACCUACCUGUCCCAUAUAAUUUUUAUUUAUUUCCACAUUAAUUUUCCAUACUUCUCAUACUGUCUUGGUAGUCAUCUUGUACUCCAUUUAUUUUUAAAAAUAAAGUAAUGUAAAGUACAGUACAGUAUAUGCAUCAUAUAUAUAUAUAUAUAUAUAUAUAUAUAUAUAUAUAUAUAUAUAUAUAUAUAUAUAUAUAUAUAUAUAUAUAUAUAUAUAUAUAUAUAUAUAUAUAUAUAUAUAUAUAUAUAUAUAUAUUCCCCAGGUUACGAACAGGUGCCGUUCCUGAGGAUGUUCUUAAGUAAAAAAUAUGUCAGUCAAAACAUUCUAUGUUCAUACCAUACUUACAGAACAGAGUAAAAACUCCCACUAUAUCAUAGCGUAAGUCCUUAUAUACAUCAAAAUCACUUAAGUUAAGAGAAAAGAAGAAAUAGAUUGACAAAAUACAAUGGUUAAUUGGGACUGGAAAAACACCUCUGAUAACGAAUCCUCUUAAAGCAGGGAAUUAAUCCCAUAAGAAAUAAUGGAAAUAGGUCAAAUUGGGACCAUGACAUUAUACACAACACUCAAAAAGAUUUUUAUGAUAUCUUUUAACAAUUAGUUACCUUAGAAACAUUUGUUAAACAUUUGGUAACACAUUAAUUUAAGAAAUUUUAUAAAUAUAAGUUAUUUAACGUCCUUAAAGUUCAGUGGGGUCAGUGUGUGGAGGCAACUUAGGUUGUGCCAGCGACCCGGUGGUCCACAGCAACCGUUGCUGGUGCACACUCACUCCAGUGGUUCAGGUUCAUCGAGACAAAAUACUUAUUAUCAUGUUUUAAAAAUAAAUAAUGUUAACCUAA